rnacentral:rRNA from 1 species
AUUGAACGCUGGCGGCAGGCUUAACACAUGCAAGUCGAGCGGGGAAAAGUAGCUUGCUACUUUACCUAGCGGCGGACGGGUGAGUAAUGCUUAGGAAUCUGCCUAUUAGUGGGGGACAACAUCUCGAAAGGGAUGCUAAUACCGCAUACGUCCUACGGGAGAAAGCAGGGGACCUUCGGGCCUUGCGCUAAUAGAUGAGCCUAAGUCGGAUUAGCUAGUUGGUGGGGUAAAGGCCUACCAAGGCGACGAUCUGUAGCGGGUCUGAGAGGAUGAUCAGACACACUGGGACUGAGACACGGCCCAGACUCCUACGGGAGGCAGCAGUGGGGAAUAUUGGACAAUGGGGGGAACCCUGAUCCAGCCAUGCCGCGUGUGUGAAGAAGGCCUUUUGGUUGUAAAGCACUUUAAGCGAGGAGGAGGCUACCGAGAUUAAUACUCUUGGAUAGUGGACGUUACUCGCAGAAUAAGCACCGGCUAACUCUGUGCCAGCAGCCGCCGUAA